rnacentral:rRNA from 1 species
UUGCGGUUAAAAAGCUCGUAGUUGGAUUUCUGCUGAAGCAAACCGGUCCGCCCUCUGGGUGAGCAUCUGGUUUUGUUGUGGCAUAUGCUUAGACUUUGCAGCUGCACUUGACUGUGUGGUGUGAAGGCUGAGCCUUUUACUUUGAUGAAAUCAGAGUGUUUCAAGCAGGCCAUUGCCGUGCAUACACUAGCAUGUACUAAUAUGAUAUGACUGUGGUUUUACUUUGUUGGCUUUUAGAAUUAGAGUAAUGGUUAAUAGGGAUAGUUGGGGGCAUUCAUAUUUAACUGUCAGAGGUGAAAUUCUUGGAUUUGUUAAGGAUGAACGACUGCGAAAGCAGUUGCCAAUGAUGCUUUCAUUGAUCAAUAACGAAAUUUAGGGGAUCGAAGACGACUAGAUACCGUCCUAGCCUUAACCAUAAACCAUGCCAACUAGAUAUUGGAGAUUGUUAUGUGCAUGACUCCUUCAGCACCUAAUGAUAAAGCAAAGUCUUUGGGUUCCGGGGGGGGGGGAGUAUGGU